rnacentral:rRNA from 1 species
AGAGUUUGAUCAUGGCUCAGGAUGAACGCUGGCGACGUGGAUAAGGCAUGCAAGUCGAACGCUCUUUACCACUUUUGUCGGAAUAGAAAUUUCUAUUAUUACAAAAGUGGUAAAGAGAGUGGCGAACGAGGUAGUAACACGUAGGUACGCACCCCAAAGUCAGGAAUAACUAGUCGAAAGAUUGGCUAAUACUUGAUAAUCUCUUCGGAGCAAAGCUUUAGCGCUUUGGGAGCGGCCUGCGGGCUAUCAGCUUGUUGGUAAGGUAACGGCUUACCAAGGCGAUGACGGCUAGGGGAGGUGAGAGCCUGACCCCCACCGAUGGCACUGAGACACGGGCCAUACACCUACGGGUGGCUGCAGUCGAGAAUCUUCCGCAAUGGGCGAAAGCCUGACGGAGCGACGUCGCGUGACUGAUGAAGUCCUUCGGGAUGUAAAGGUCUUUUAUGAGGGAGGAAGUUUAUUGACGUUACCUCAUGAAUAAGGGGUUGCUAAACUCGUGCCAGCAGCAGCGGUAAUACGAGUGCCCCAAGCGUUAUCCGGAAUCACUGGGCGUAAAGAGUGCGUAGGUGGUUUUGUUAGUUUUUUGUCAAAGCCUCCGGCUUAACCGGAGAAAGGCGAGAAAUACGGCAAAACUAGAGGAUGGGAGGGGUUUAUGGAACUCAUAGUGUAGGGGUGAAAUCCGUUGAUAUUAUGGGGAACACCAAAAGCGAAGGCAGUAAACUGGCCCAUUCCUGACACUCAAGCACGAAAGCGUGGGUGGCGAACGGGAUUAGAUACCCUGGUAGUCC